rnacentral:tRNA from 1 species
GCCUGGGUGGCUCAGUCGGUUGAGCGUCCGACUUCAGCUCAGGUCAUGAUCUCGUGGUUUGUGGGUUCGAGCCCCGCAUCGGGCU